GUUGACCUAUGAAUUUUGACCC
rnacentral:snRNA from 1 species